UACGUAGGGUGCAAGCGUUGUCCGGAAUUAUUGGGCGUAAAGAGCUCGUAGGCGGUCAGUCGCGUCUGCUGUGAAAACUCGGGGCUUAACUCCGGGCCUGCAGUGGGUACGGGCUGACUAGAGUGCGGUAGGGGAGACUGGAAUUCCUGGUGUAGCGGUGAAAUGCGCAGAUAUCAGGAGGAACACCUAUUGCGAAGGCAGCUCGCUGGGACGUUACUGACGCUGAGACGCGAAAGCGUGGGGAGCGAACAGG
rnacentral:rRNA from 1 species